GGCCAUGUGACCUAAUGGAUAAGGUAUCUGAUUCCAGAUCAGAAGACUGAGGGUUCAAAUCCUUACUUAGUUU
rnacentral:tRNA from 1 species